rnacentral:lncRNA from 1 species
AUCAGUAAGGGAUUAAUUCUGACUGCAGCAUGAAAGGACUUUUCAACGGUUGAAGCUUUCAAGCUAAAAUGUAAGGAGAAAGAUUGUGAUAAUCAGAAAAACAAAACCACCAAACACAUAUGAAAACUAAGAGGACUUCGUCAUCUAAGAGCCAGGCCGGAGACUGGCAGCUAGCUAUAGCAGAAAGAACUCAUGAACUGACUGGGUCAUCAUAACUCUCAUAAAUCAAGACUUUUCUUCUGGAAAAGUUGUCCUUCAGUGCAUGAGAGAAUACCAAGGAAAAAAUACCUGAUGAACUUCAAG